rnacentral:RNase_P_RNA from 1 species
UUGGAAAGUCCGGUACGAAUUAAGAUUAUAGUUAUUCUAUUCUGUUUAAAUAGAGGAAUUAAAUUUAAAGAAAUUUAUCAAGAAUAUUCUCUUGGCGAACUUAUUAUUCUUUUCUUCGUAUGUUUUAAGAUAAUAAAUAAUUUAACUAAAUCCGGCUUAU